UACGUAGGGUGCGAGCGUUUGUCCGGAAUUAUUGGGCGUAAAGAGCUCGUAGGCGGCUUGUCGCGUCGGAUGUGAAAGCCCCGGGGCUUAACUCCGGGUCUGCAUUCGAUACGGGCAGGCUAGAGUUCGGUAGGGGGAGAUCGGGAAUUCCUGGUGUAGCGGUGAAAAUGCGCAGAUAUCAGGAGGAACACCGGUGGCGA
rnacentral:rRNA from 1 species